UUCCAUCAAAACAUUUUUGCUCAAUCUUCCACCUUCUAAGCUAAACCCAACCUCAAAAUUACCAUCACUUUUCAUCUCUUCCCAUGUUUGUAACCAAUCAAGAGAAGAUAUACAAGGUGCAACAAACAACACCUCACAUGCAAUUCUUGCUUCUGAGAAUCUUUCUGAAAAUUGUGACUCAAUUGAUUCCAACAAGGCCUUAUAAUGCAACAAAUUCCCUUCAUAAAAUGACUUAAAAUUCAUACUAUUUUUUAGUUUUUCAAAUGCUUCACCAUCACCAAAAGUAAUCAUUCCCUUGCUACCAUAGUUCUUG
rnacentral:lncRNA from 1 species